rnacentral:lncRNA from 1 species
UGAUGCUAAGCAGAGAUGCCAUGGGCCUGUCCCAGGGCUUGUGUGGCAGGGGAGGGGAGGGACACUGGAGUCAAGGCCUUCAUGGACUGCAGGGCUGGUCGAGUGGAUGCAGGCACUCUGAGGCCGAGUCAUUCAGUGACUGAUAUCAGGACGGACCAAGUUGGAAGAAUCCAAAUCAAGAGUUACUCCAGCAGCUGCAAAUGCCAGAAGGUUUAUUACUCCGGCUUAGCUAUGGGUCAGGACUUGAACUCCAGUACAUCUCGUCUGAUCUCUGUUUGAUCCCUAAAUAUAUUGGUUGCCCAGCUGAGGAAGGCCAGAGUGUUUCUUGCUGGAGAGUUGCGGUGUCUUCAGCAAGUGAAAGAAAGAAAUGAGAAAUAAGCUAAAGCAGGGAGGGUCACGCAAUGCAAUCUUUCCAUAAAUUUGACAGAUGGAAUAACAAAGGCCAAUGUGGUGAUGAUGCUGAGUUUCUUCUGACUUUACAAAGAUGGGGAAAAAUCAUUCAAGAAUGGAAAGAUCCAGUGCCUGAUCUCAGUAGAUCCUGCAGAUGCGCAGCUUAUCAGGAUUACGGUAUGCUGAAGCAGUGCAGCCCCACCAAGGAAGAGAUGCUGGCAGAUAAAACAACAUGACCACUUCACUGUGCAAGCCAAGCCCAGAAUCAUUUUCUUCCAGGAGUCUGCAUUGAGAAUACACAUGCUUUUUACUGUGGAUUCAAGUCUUACAACACAAAAGUAUCAAAUAGUGAUGACAUACAAUCUUGAAAAGGCAACAAUUGUUUCAUAUGAAAACUGCUUAGGUGUAAAGUAAAUACAAAUUAAAAAGUACUUAAAAAUAUAGCCUAAUAUGCCGAGUUGGCCUUGUUGUUUGAAAAUUAAUUUAAAAUUCAUAAAACCAAAAUAACUUAGAAAAAGGCAACAUUUGCCAACUUGAUAAAAUCACAUUAAAGCACAUAAAAUUUAAAAAUCACUACUAUUUACUGAAAAAAAAUCAACCAAGUUGUUUUAGGAUAAUUGAUACAGAACUGUAGGCACAUUGACCAAUUAAGUAGAGAACUGCUAAUCAGACAAAGAACACAUAAUUGGCUAAAAUGUAUUUAACAUUAUUUAGAAAUUCAAAACAAAGAGGAAUCUCCCAAAACUCUGAAAAAUGGGAAAAUGUUUAAAAUUAUAGAAGUCAUUGAAUAAUUUUCUCAUGUUACUUUAACCUUACAAUUAUAUAAAGACCAGUGAUGGGGAAAAUUUAUUUUUGACUGACUUAACAUUUUGACCAAUUUCAUUUUAACCACUCGAUUUGCAGUCAUUGAGCAUAAGCACAAGGCUUAAAAUUGGAGAAUGGUAGUGAUAAUGUACAUUAAAAUUUUCUGGAGAAUUAAAACUCAGCAUUCAUCUAGUUUAUUUUUUCUCUAUUGCUGUUUCAUGGGAUGAUGGAAUUCUCUAUUACAAUUUUUUUCAUCCUUUGUUUGGAGCUAUUGUAGUUGUGGUUGUCUUGUCUAUCCUCUUUUUCUCUUUGUUUUAGCAACUCUUCAUAGAGAACUUAUGGAUUAUUUAGCCCAUAUUGUUUGGAAUGAUAUCUCUGAAUUAUAAUCUAAAUACAGUAAUUUCAUGGAUGGAAAAGUUGAGCCCAGUCCAUACUGUUUUAUCUUAGUCUAGCAUAUUUUUCACUAUACUCAACAGCUUUGGUAUAACCUUCAGGAAAUUUUUUAAAUAUUGCAUCAAAAUAAAGUAAACUUCCCCUGUAAUUUCAAAGAAUCAUGUUUUAUUUCUUCAAAUUUCUUAAGCUUUUGUUAUUUUAACAAUAUCUUCAGAAUUUAGACUUGUGCUUCUGGGAACAUGGUAUAGACAUACUUUUCUCUUUUCCUCCCACUAAGUACAAUGAAAAACUCUAGAC